rnacentral:lncRNA from 1 species
UUUGAUUACAGUGCAAUUUCAAGAGUUUGCUUGUUUUUUUCUCCCUUGGCUCUUUCUCUAUCUUAUUAUUUUUUCUUCUUGUUUGUUUGUUUGAGAACAUUUGCUGGAACUUCCCUAGAUGAUUCCACCAUCCUUCUCCCGGGGAGUAAACUGGCCAUGAGCAAUUUAUCCAGGUAGAUGGUACUGAGAAGUGCUUUGCCAACUGCAACUGCGAUCAUCAGCACAACGCCAGCUAUUGUUCACUGAGCGCCUGCUGCCUGUACUGUGCAUUUCGACUGCAAACUUCAUGAGAGCAGAGACCACACCCAUUACGUUGGCUGGCAUACAGGAGAUCUCAAUAAACAUAGGGAGGAUGGAUGAAGGAGUAGAAGGACAGCAGAGGCAAAGAGCAUCAUUCCUCCUGCAAUGAGCACUUAAUCGAUAUCAGGCACUGGGCAUAUUAAAAUGAGAUUCCACACAGAGUCCCCGCUGUCAGGAAAUCCACAGGUCAGCACAUUCUUGGAAAGAAGAGGAAGGAUUUGAGCAGGAGAACUGCUGGAGGGGAGGAAGCCGAGGUGCUCAGGCACAGUACUGCCUGUUUGCUGGAAUUUCCUGCUUUCCGUUUCUCAGACAGUCCCUUUUUGUCCUAUUUUUGUUCCAGAUGACCCUUUAGUUUUCUGGUGGAAGUAAGUGUCUUCCUUGUCACCCUUAGUUACUGAGCCCAGGAGUUGGUCCUCUUUCUACACUCCAGCUUCCCCGUAGAUCAUUUUAUUAUGUCUCCCGGGUUCUUGCGACACCUUUCAGUCUUUUUCUUCUCUGCUCUGGAGAUUUUUUUUUUUAAGUGAGGAAGAUUGGCUCUGAGCUAACAUCUGUGCCAAUCUUCCUCUAGUACGUGGGCUGCCGCCCCAGCGUGGCUUGAUGUGCGGUAUGUAUGUCCACGCCCUGGAUCUGAACCUGCGAACCCAGGGCUACCUAAUUGGAGCGGGCGAACUCAACCACGCGACCAACCCGGCCCCUGGAGUUUUUUUUAUAAUGCACUGGAGCCCACCCAGUUGGCCCCUUCCCCCUAGCCUGGGUCGCUCAUCACCCUGACAAUAACUGUACUUAAAGAUGCAUGAUUUUCAUUUGCAUAUAAAAGAUAAUCCUUUUGGAUCCGGACAAUCCGUUUCUUGUAUUACAACUUUUAAAGUAGUUAAGACCCCUGCAUUUAUAUUUUAACACAGACCUUGCAGGUUCUAUGUUUGGGGGUGGAGUCACCUCAAAUCUCUCCGUUUGCGUUGAGGAUAAAGAAGUGUCACCUAGGAGGUUGGUCUGACAAUUCCAGGUGCUAAUUGAUGUCCUUGGUUAGUUGGGGGUGGUGGAGGUGGUGGGGGUAGUGGGGGCAAUGCACACAGGCCGCACGGCCCCCAAGCUCUGGAGUUGAGCCCACUGGGUCGCCAGGCUGACUGAGAGGCAGGGGAAACAUUCGGGGGUCUUUGAUGGGUCUUGGGAAGGGGGGAGCAGAUAUUCUAAGCUCUGUGUGGGGCUGGUUUUGAAGGCAGGGACGGCCCUGUUCCCCUCUCUGCUCACAUCUCCCACUAGAACGGUCUCAGCUCGGAACUUCCAAGUGUACCACUGUCCACAGAUUGUUUUCCUCCUGUGGACCUCAAUUUCUCUCUGUAAAACAGAGCUGGUUGCACAUUUCCACCAGUGUUUGGAGAGGGGAGGAGGAGAAGGUGUGGGCCCCAGGAGACAGAGGCUCAGCCCACAUAGCUGGUUCCUGUCAGAUGCUUCUGCUUAGGGGGAGCUGUGGCCGUUGGGCCGCCCUCGCUUCGUGCUCUGGGAGCAGAGGAUCCAGGCCCUGUACCCCACCAUGUGCUUCCUCAUUGGGAGCAGUGUGGGAAGGUCCCUGUGUUCGUGGUGGAAGCACAGGUGUCUGGAGGUGGGUACGGAGGUGGGUAUGGAGGUGGGUCUGGAGGUGGGCAUGAAGGUGGGUCUGGAGGUGGGCAUGGAGUUGGGUCUGGAGCUGGGCUUGGAGCUGGGUCUGGAGGUGGGCAUGGAGGUGGGUCUGGAGCUGGGCUUGGAGCUGGGUCUGGAGGUGGGCGUGAAAGUGGGUCUGGAGGCAGGCAGAGGAAAUCUGAAUGCGUUUGGGGGAGGAGGAUGGAUGCCCGAGGGCAGAGGAGAGGGAGGGCUUCUCCUGUUCUCACCCUACUUCUCUCUUCUCAACAGUUCUACACCAUCAGGCAACGUUUAAAUACACUCCGGAACAAACGUCGAUCCUGGGACCUCUGCUUGGCUUGCCUGUGCCCGCCCUGUCCGGUCAGCUGCCACAGACCCUGUGCCUCAUCUGAGGGCUCCUUCCUCCUUCCUCGGAAAGCUGUUCAGGUCACGGCAGAGCUUGCCUCCUUAUGAUGCAGUCGCCAAGGCCCUUCCCCGGCUUCCGAGGAAUUUGGGUCUUAUUACGUGUGUAGAUAAUGCCAUCUAUUGCUAUUUAACUUUUUCACGCACAGCUUUCUCUUCAGUUGCAGUGGGUUUCAGCCCUGGCUGCACAGAAUCACCAGGGAAGCUGUAGAAAAUACUAGUACGCCAGGCCCAAGGCCAGGGACUCUGAUUUAAUGGAUCAGGGGUGGGGCUCCGAGUCUUGUGGCUUGUCAGUCUCCCAGGUGACUGUAAGGAGUGAGGCUUGCAGGCUGGGACCAGCAUUCCAGGGGCUUCCUCCAGUCUCUGUGGAUGAAGGGUUGGUCAGAGGGUCCUUUGGAAAGCAAGUGGCCUGGGGCUAAUCGUGGCUCUGGGCAACCCGGGGGAGGGGGUGAAAAGUGUCCAGUGAGGAGGCUGUGAUGGCAUCGUCUACCUGCUCACCCUGUGGAAAACGAGGGGGGCACUUCCAGGAGGGAUGGGACACCCGCACUCCGCCUCUGGGCUCCUCUUGGGGAAGGAGAUCAAGGUCCCCGUGGGCCGUGCUCCGGAGGCCCUCCUCCCUCUCAACGAUCCUCCGUGUGCUCUCUUGGUUUCUCAUGCCUCAGUUUUCUCUCCCCAGGAGGCUUCAAACAAAGGACAGGUUUAGUGCACUGGGCCCAACACAGCCACUUACUCUGGGACCUGGAUGGAGUUUAUUAACUUCUCUGAACUUCAGGUUCCUCAUCUGUCAAAUGGGCUGAAGCUUAACUCCUAAGGCUACCAUGUGGAUUACAUGGAAGGAUUCUGGCCGAGCGCCGAGCCCACGGUGGACGCUCAGUGGAUAGCUGCUAUGGCUGCCAUUUUCACCUGGUCCCACCUCUUGGUAGCUCCAGAACUGGCUACAUGGUUUGGUUAUUGAACCCUCGGAGCCUCAGUUUCCACAUCUUAUACAACAGGGACAACAACAGGUCCUCCACAGAGCUGGAAGGCAUCAGUAGGUAAAGGGCAGAGCAGAGGAGACGCAGAGCUCAGCCCGGCCCUCUGCUCCCCAGCCCUUCCUCCUCUCAACCUCGCUCUCUCCAGCACCUCCCCCCUCUCUCCACCUCUCUCUAAGUCUUCGCUCUCCUGCUCGUGCUCCUCGCUUGACCCUCCUCGAUAGUCUGAGCAUGGGAGGCCCGGGAUGGAGCCUGUGGGACCAAAGAGGAGGUAGAGAGAUGCAGAACAGGGAGAAGGCAAUGCCCUUCAGCGACAGACCUACUUACCUCUGAGUGACAAAGACCCGGCAAUGGACAGCGUUGAGUCCCCUGUUCCCACGCUCCCUUGGUGACAGGAACUGAAGCCGGAAGAGGUAAGGGAAACUAUGUGACUUCUUUCACUCGUUUAUUCAUCCACUGAGCUCAUACUGGUGGAGUAGUUACAACGUGCCAGGCACAGUGCUUGGCGAACAAGACCGUCUCUGCCGUCGGAGAAGGCACAUCCUCCUUGGAGACACACAGGUACCUGAACAUUUCAGUAUAGUAUGUUAAGUGCUAAAAUAGGGUGCUGACCUGGUUUUUGUCCUGGGGGAGGGAGUCAAGACUUCUGAGACUAAAAGAAGUCCAAGCUGAGAUUGGAAAGUAGGAGUUGGCUAGGUGAAGGGGGAAGGACACGCUUUUCCAGGCUCAGUGUGCACAUGCAAAGGCCUGGAGGCCAGCAUGAGCCUGGCUUGUUCCUGUGUCUGCGGUAGAGAAGUGCUGGCCAAGUGUGCACAAUCUCAGUGGAGGCCAAGCCAUGUCUGGAUUCAGAACCCACUUUGAAGGUGGCAAGACAUGGACAUUGGCAUGAUUGAUAAUGGAUCCCUCAACUAGCCAGAGGGAAGGACCAAAAUAUAGGCUCACAGACUGUGACAGGUGUGAUAAAGAAAAAGUCCCUGUGCUACCCCCCAAAAAAUUAGGAAAAGAAAAAAUAAGAAUGGAACAAAAAAAUUAUGGAGAGUGUAAAGGCAAAUGUGGUGCUUGCAAAGAGUAUGUUGGAGACUGGAAACAGAAGGAUGAGAGACAAGGAGACUCAAGACUUGAUCCCGAGGGAUACUUCAGUGUUUCACUGAAGAUGGAUAAAGACUAAUUCGGCCCAGCACUAUCAAUAUGCCAUUAGCAUUUCUCAUUGCCGCCAAGGCUGCCAUGUGCAAUUGUGCAAGUCGAGCACUGCACAAUUCUAGAGACCACCGUUUCCAUCACUGAUAUAGACUCAUCUAUUUAUUACAACAAUUUUUCAGUAGAUGGCGCACAAAGAGGCCUACAGGUGAAUGGCUGUGCUGACUGGCCACCCUUUGCAAGACACUCUGGUCUCACCUACCUCUUCCCUAUUACAGCAGGGUGAGAAGACCCACGUGUCUACUACCUGCAACAAACACUCAAGAGUUUCCUUUUCCUCCAUCCUCGCAUUCAUCCUUGCCUGCCUGCCCAUGGAGGGCGGUGAGGCAGGCCUGGGGACGGAAUGCACAGCAUGGCAGCUUGAGCGAGCACCUCUGUGGUGUGUACUUGACAGUUGCCGAGAGUAGAUCUCGGGUUCUCACCACACACACACACACACACACACACACACACUAUGGGAAGUGAUAACCUUAUCAUCGUCAUCAUUGGAUAAUAUAGACAUAUAUCAAGUCAUUGCAUUGUACACCCUGAACUUACACAUCUUAUUUGUCAAUUACAUCUCAAUAAAGCUGGAAAAAAUAAAUAAAUAAAUGAAAAAGACCACAUGGGAGGCAAUAAAACAGAGUGGUGGGGAGCAAGGCCCUUGGAGUCUGUCUGCCUGGCAUCCGAUAUUUGACCGGAUCUGGGCUGUACUUCUGCGUCUGUAAAAUGGGCAGAUUAGCCACCUCACAGAGUUGUCUGAGGACCACCCGAGACAAGGCUGGUAAAGCCUUUGAGUGUAGUGUCUGGUACACAGUAAAUGCUAACUAAAUGCUAACAAUUUUUGAACAAAUAUUUAAUGUGUUGCAAUCUAAUGGAGAAGCUAGACAUCGAACAAAAACUCCAGAGUGAUGGAUGGUUGCGUCGCUCAGCCUCCUCUUCCAGGGCCUGCCUCAGAGCCUGGCAGUGACCCCUCACGGCUGGCGGAGACUGCAGCGCCGCUGCAGGAGCCCCAUCUGCGUGUGACACCGUUGCUUCUCCACUGGGCUCCUGGCUCGUUGUACCGGCAGCCUCAGCCUGACAGACAGGGGGAGCUGAGAGUUUCACUGGGACGCGGGUCUGCCCUCCAAAGCCCAGCCUGGGUGCUCUGCUGAAGAGAGAUGGGGGAUGUCUGUGGCUCUAGAUUUUUUGUUUUUGUUUUUAAUGGUCUGGCUUGCUCGGCCUUUUUUCCAGGUGUUUCCUAAAAUAGCUUUCCACUCCUCCUCCCUUGGACCCACCUUCAGCCCUGCCUUCAGAGGCAUCCAGGUGGGUUCUUGGCCUUCCUCACUGCUGGUUUACGAUUCCGCUUUUUUCAGACUUCUAAAUUGUUAGAGCUUGUUCAUCUAUCUUCCGGCUUCCAAAAAUAUUCUGCUAUUGUCUCCGUUCCUGUUUUCUUCAUCUUGUGGAUGUAUGCUUUAAAAAACCCACCUCUCUCCACUGUCAUUUUGGCGGGUUUUGGAGAGGAACUGAGGUAAACUCAUGCGUUCCAGCUGCCCUCUCUAACUGAAGUCAGUUACGCGCCUCUGCUGUGCCCCACCUCAGAGGAUGGCUGGAGAAGCUCUGCCCCCACCCACACUGCUUGCAGGCUCGGUGGUCUGGUUCCUCAGUCCACAGACAACAAGAAGGAGCCCAUUAGACGGGAGGCUCGCCCGAGGAAAGACCCGCCAGAAGUGGCAAGUGAACUGCACAGGAAGGGACAGAGAAAUCAUACAGAAAGUCUAUCCAAGCAGAGCCACCUAGAGCAGGGUAAACGGCGCUCAAACCUAGCAGCACGGCACCCCCAGGGACGGAGCUUCAGCAGUUCCAGGCCCAGAGUCUCACAAAGGCUCACAAUGA